UUUUCUCCUAAAAGUUUCAGCCAGCAUGACCACACACAUGCUAGUUAUUGAUACAGGAACUGCUCCAAUAUUCAUCGGUUGGUGGAUCAUAUGGCACCUUAAGGUUUGGCAGUUCUUAAUGGAAGUUCUGAUCACUUCAGAUCAAUGGAUUUUAUUUGUAUGUUUUAAGCAUGAGUAGUGAUCAUGGUUUUGUUUAUAGGUUUAGGUGAACAUUUGGAGCGUUUGGGAACAUUUGUGUUAGGAAAUUGCGGUUCUUGGUUUUUCGACUUCUACAGUGCACAUGGUAUCUGGUGCGAGCACUAUCCACACACAAUGCAGAAAAAGAUGCCGAGAAGUGUAAAAUYAUAGAUGGCAUGAUUGCAAUAUUUCGGGUACUUGUUGAAGGUGGAGACAGACUGAAGUAAGCUUCUUUAAUCAACCGACUCCUCUUUUCAAUGGGAAUGGACCUAAGCAAAAGGUAUUGACUCCAUAUCCUCUUGAAUCAUCCU